UGGGGAAUUUUGGACAAUGGGCGAAAGCCUGAUCCAGCAAUGCCGCGUGUGUGAAGAAGGCCUUCGGGUUGUAAAGCACUUUUGUCCGGAAAGAAAUCCUUGGCUCUAAUACAGUCGGGGGAUGACGGUACCGGAAGAAUAAGCACCGGCUAACUACGUGCCAGCAGCCGCGGUAAUACGUAGGGUGCAAGCGUUAAUCGGAAUUACUGGGCGUAAAGCGUGCGCAGGCGGUUUGCUAAGACCGAUGUGAAAUCCCCGGGCUCAACCUGGGAACUGCAUUGGUGACUGGCAGGCUAGAGUAUGGCAGAGGGGGGUAGAAUUCCACGUGUAGCAGUGAAAUGCGUAGAGAUGUGGAGGAAUACCGAUGGUGAAGGCAGCCCCCUGGGCCAAUACUGACGCUCAUGCACGAAAGCGUGGGGAGCAAACAGGAUUAGAUACCCUGGUAGUCCACGCCCUAAACGAUGUCAACUAGUUGUUGGGGAUUCAUUUCCUUAGUAACGUAGCUAACGCGUGAAGUUGACCGCCUGGGGAGUACGGUCGCAAGAUUAAAACUUAAAUGAAUUGACGGGGUCAUAGCUGUUUCCU
rnacentral:rRNA from 1 species